rnacentral:tRNA from 2 species
GCUGUCCUAGUUUAUUAAAAUGUUGUGUUGUGGCCGCAGAGAUAGACUUUGUCUGGAUGGUA